rnacentral:rRNA from 1 species
CAACUCGCCUACACGAAGCUGGAAUCGCUAGUAAUCGCGGAUCAGCACGCCGCGGUGAAUACGUUCCCGGGUCUUGUACACACCGCCCGUCACACCAUGGGAGUCGGAAAUGCCCGAAGUCUGUGACCCAACCUUAGGGAGGGAGCAGCCGAAGGCAGGUCGGAUGACUGGGGUGAAGUCGUAACAAGGUAUC